AAUUUUGGACAAUGGGGGAAACUCUGAUCCAGCCAUCACGCGUGUGCGGUGAAGGCCUUCGUCGUGUAAAGCACUUGUGUCAGGGAAGAAAAGGUUCUGGCUAAUACCCGGAACUGAUAACGGUACCGGAAGAAUAAGUCCCGGCGAACUACGUGCCAGCAGCCGCGGUAAUACGUAGGGUGCAAGCGUGAAUCGGAAUUACGGGGCGUAAAGCGUGCGCAGGCGGUUCGGAAAGAAGGAUGUGAAAUCGCAGGGCUCAGCCUUGGAACUGCAUUCUUAACUACCGAACUAGAGUAUGUCAGAGGGGGGUAGAAUUCCGCGUGUAGCAGUGAAAUGCGUAGAUAUGCAGAGGAAUACCGAUAGCGAAGGCAACGCCCUGGGAUAAUACUGACGCUCAUGCACGAACGCGUGGGUAGCAAACAGG
rnacentral:rRNA from 1 species